GAUGAACGCUGGCGGCAUGCCUAACACAUGCAAGUCGAUCGGUAAGGCUCUUCGGAGUACACGAGAGGCGGACGGCUGAGUAACACGUAGGAACACACCCUGCAGUGAGGGAUAAGACACCGAAAGGUGUUCUAAUACCGCAUACGGUCUUCGGAUUAAAGCAUUUAUGCGCUGAAGGAGUGGCCUGCGUCAUAUUAGAUAGUUGGUGAGGUAAUGGCUCACCAAGUCGAUGAUGUGUAGCUGGUCUGAGAGGAUGAUCAGCCAGACUGGAACUGAGACACGGUCCAGGCUCCUACGGGAGGCAGCAGUGAGGAAUAUUUCACAAUGAGCGAAAGCGUGAUGGAGCAAUGCCGCGUGCAGGAUGAAGGCCCUCGGGUUGUAAACUGCUUUUAUAAGAGAAGAUUAUGACGGUAACUUAUGAAUAAGGGACGGCUAACUACGUG
rnacentral:rRNA from 1 species